rnacentral:rRNA from 1 species
CCGGGGUUUUACGAAACCGACGAAAGGGUUAAGGUUACGUACCCUAACCGACGAAGGGGGGCGCUACCACGGUGAGAUUCAUGACUGGGGUG